AGAGUUGAUCAUGGCUCAGAACGAACGCUGGCGGCGCGUUUAAGCAUGCAAGUCGAGCGGCAAGGGCCUUCGGGCCCUAGAGCGGCGGACGGGUGAGUAACACGUGGACAAUCUGCCCCCCGGCCCGGGAUAGCCCAGGGAAACCUGGAUUAAUACCGGAUGAGACGGGACCCGCGAUGGCGGGACCCGGGAAAGGCGCUGCGGCGCCGCCGGGGGAUGAGUCUGCGUCCCAUUAGCUAGACGGCGGGGUAACGGCCCACCGUGGCGACGAUGGGUAGCCGGCCUGAGAGGGUGGACGGCCACAUUGGAACUGAGACACGGUCCAGACUCCUACGGGAGGCAGCAGCUAAGAAUCUUCCGCAAUGGGCGAAAGCCUGACGGAAGCGACGCCGCGUGAACGAAGAAGGCCGUGAGGUUGUAAAGUUCUUUUCGGGAGGGGGAACAACCGUGGCAGGGAAUGGCCGCGGGAUGACGUGAAUCCCGGAAUAAGCCCCGGCUAACUACGUGCCAGCCGCCGC
rnacentral:rRNA from 1 species